UUCUUUUCUUUUAUGCUUUUUUGGUUAUGUUUUUAUCCUCGAUUUAGAAAUUAUAAAAAAAAACCCUAGAUUUGAUCUUCCAAAGGGUUAUCUUAACUGGAAUCUCUCUUCUCUUAUCAUAUAUAUAUAUCUCUGAAGUUGGAUGGAUUGUGUGAGUGAAUGAGGUUGGGACAAGAGAAAAGCAAAGAAACUGACAGAAGAGAGUGAGCACACAAAGGCAAUUUGCAUAUCAUUGCAUUUGCUUCUCUUGCGUGCUCACUGCUCUUUCUGUCAGAUUCCGGUGCUGAUCUCUUUGGCCUGUCCUUGUUCUCUUUGUCUCAAUCUCUCUCUCACAUAUACAAUCUCUCUUUCUCUUUCUUGUUCAUCUCCAAAAUAAGGUAAGAAGAUACGAUCUAAACGAUGGUUUGUUCUUGUGUAUAGAUGUUGGUUCGAUCUGCUUGCAUGCUCGAGGAGACCUUUAGCCUUUAAAACAUUCAUUAUGUUUUAGGAGAUGGGUAUUAUCGAAAAAGCUUAAUCUAUGAGUUAACGCGUGGUUUAGUUAGAUUAGCAUGGUAACCUAGUUUUUUAAUAGGAUGGUCCUUAAUUUUUUCUCGAUUUAUGUAUAUAUUAUAUCGUUUCUUUUUCCUCUCUGUCUCUCGAGGCGUUUUAAUCCCUAGUAGUUCCCUUUGUAUAUAUACUGUUAUAUAUAUAUAUAUAUAUGUCAUUUGAUUCAUGCGAUCAUAUCAUCUAAUUUUGCGUGUUUCAUGAUAUUUGCAUUAUAAGAAUGAGUCGUUACUUUAUUUGUUAUUUAAAUGGUUGGCUCGUACAUUUUUAUUCCAUGAGGUACAUGAUUAGCUUAUUAUUUAACAAAAAAAAGUUAUAUGUUAGUAUAUAAUUAGUUGUACUUAACAUCUAUAUAUAUAAAUAAUAUAUUUAAUUCCAUGUUAAAUUUGUUUACAUGAAUAUUGUGAGAAUAUUCUUUUUAAGGGUUUGGUUUGUUAGAUUAAUUUGAGAACAUGUUCCUAUGCAACUGCUUCAGAAAAAAAAAAAACACGCAUUUUGUAUGCAAACUAAUACAACCUAUAAUGUAUGAAUUUGUUGUAUUAGUGCCACAUGUUGAUGUGUCAUGUCUUUCCGCUUUUGUACUGUUAAUGCUGUUGAAUGUUUUAGGUGUUUGUCGAGAAAAUAUCAACACUAGAAUUAACUUGUUGUCCUACUGUUUACACCUUUCAUUUUUCUUGGGUAAGUGAGUCGUUGGACUGAAAUCACGAUGAUUAUGUGUUCAAAUGUGUAUGUAUAUAUAUCUUGCAGGAAUAAAUAUAUGUAUCUCUUUGCAGUUGGUUAUGAUUGCAUCUUUCUCACAUCAUCUCUAGGCUCCAGCUUUAAUUGAAGUCCGUAUUGAUAUUUGUGAAGCGAUUGGGAAAUUUAGAAGACAGUGGACUUUGUGUUUCUGUUUGAUCAUAUGCUAACGCAAACGUGAAAAAAAUAAGAAAAUUAAGAGCCGAGGCCUAGUUCAUUGAAAAAUUAAACCAUGUUUAGAAAUAGAAUUCGAUGAAAGAAAAGAGACUAAUUAAAGCAUUCUUCUUUAUCACCAAGUGUCCAAGUUUCAUCAACAAAACUUCUUUUUCUUACAAGUCUUCCAUUUUCAUCCAAUAUAUUCAUUACGAGAGUCAAUUGGUUUUCUUUUAUGUAGCUGUAGGUCAUACAAUUUUAAGAUCCAUGUACUCAACAGUCGGAUAUUUUCUUGACAUGUUGAGUUUAAUCAACAACACCAAUUAUAUAUUAUUUUAAUUUAUCUAGUUCAAGACAUUUUCAACUC